ACGAAGGGGGCAAGCGUUGUUCGGAAUUAUUGGGCGUAAAGGGCGCGUAGGCGGAUCUGUGUGUCUGGCGUGAAAUCUCCACCACUUAACGGGGAGAGGUCGCUGGAAACUGCAGAUCUGGAGUUUGUUAGAGGACCAUGGAAUUCCAGGUGUAGCGGUGGAAUGCGUAGAUAUCUGGAAGAACACCGGUGGCGAAGGCGGUGGUCUGGGACAAAACUGACGCUGAGGCGCGAAAGCCAGGGGAGCAAACGGGA
rnacentral:rRNA from 1 species